rnacentral:tRNA from 1 species
AAGGGUAUAGCUCAGUGGUAGAUGUGUGCUUAGUAUGCACGAGGUCCUGGGUUCAAUCCCCAGUACCUCCA